rnacentral:tRNA from 2 species
GUCCGGUUAGACAAAAAGGUUUAAGUCACAGUCCUUUCAAGGCUGAAAUUAUGGGUUCGAGCCCCAUACCGGGUACCA